CUGAAUAUGGGGGGACCAUCCUCCAAGGCUAAAUACUCCUGACUGACCGAUAGUGAACCAGUACCGUGAGGGAAAGGCGAAAAGAACCCCGGCGAGGGGAGUGAAAAAGAACCUGAAACCGUGUACGUACAAGCAGUGGGAGCACGCUUAGGCGUGUGACUGCGUACCUUUUGUAUAAUGGGUCAGCGACUUAUAUUCUGUAGCAAGGUUAACCGAAUAGGGGAGCCGAAGGGAAACCGAGUCUUAACUGGGCGUUAAGUUGCAGGGUAUAGACCCGAAACCCGGUGAUCUAGCCAUGGGCAGGUUGAAGGUUGGGUAACACUAACUGGAGGACCGAACCGACUAAUGUUGAAAAAUUAGCGGAUGACUUGUGGCUGGGGGUGAAAGGCCAAUCAAACCGGGAGAUAGCUGGUUCUCCCCGAAAGCUAUUUAGGUAGCGCCUCGUGAAUUCAUCUCCGGGGGUAGAGCACUGUUUCGGCAAGGGGGUCAUCCCGACUUACCAACCCGAUGCAAACUGCGAAUACCGGAGAAUGUUAUCACGGGAGACACACGGCGGGUGCUAACGUCCGUCGUGAAGAGGGAAACAACCCAGACCGCCAGCUAAGGUCCCAAAGUCAUGGUUAAGUGGGAAACGAUGUGGGAAGGCCCAGACAGCCAGGAUGUUGGCUUAGAAGCAGCCAUCAUUUAAAGAAAGCGUAAUAGCUCACUGGUCGAGUCGGCCUGCGCGGAAGAUGUAACGGGGCUAAACCAUGCAC
rnacentral:rRNA from 1 species